rnacentral:tRNA from 1 species
ACCUACUUGACUCAGCGGUGAGAGUAUCGCUUUCAUACGGCGAGAGUCAUUGGUUCAAAUCCAAUAGUAGGUA